rnacentral:misc_RNA from 1 species
CGAUAGCACCCGCGCGCGCCAGAUCAUGCUCGAGUCUCGAGUCUUGCCUGACUCUCCGUGUUCGAUGUGGUCCAGACGCUCUCGACUUAUUGCCGCGCGCCGACUCUGCAUCCCUCACUCCCGUCGAUGGCAGUUCCGUGCCGACUUAUAGCGACGAGUGGCCCAUCUUGUAAUACAAUUACCGACGGCUCGCCAUGUGAUUUCUUCCGUUUGCAAUGAUCGGCUCAUGCAUUACUUCUUACCAAUUUCUCGUUCGCGUUGUAAUGUGCCGCGUUAAAAGUACCAAAAAGUAAAUAGCCUUUGGAAUCGUGGCAUGACUCGAGAUUCUGCUAUUUUUCGCCUCCCAACGCACUGUCAGCUGCAACUGCUCUCGCAAGCAAGUGAGAGCUUUCGUACAAGUUUAAGGCUGAAAUACGCAGUUCGAACGAGAUCAAAGCUAAAAACGACGCUUCUGUAAAUUGCAGCCCCGACGAUUAAUAAUCUGUAACCCAUAUAGUACCAAAAAAGGCAUUAGAAUAUGGAGACCUAAAAGCUUCAAGCGGCACUAAAGCAUGGCUAGCACUGCGUGCCACCCGUAUCAAUUUCAACAUCAACAUCUGCCGCACGAGGUGGCCAACAACAAUCGUCUGCAUCAGUGCAAUUAUCUUUAUUUCAAAGUUGCCGAACCAGCCAUCCAAUCGCCGAGAAGAGAUUAUCUUCAAAAUAUGGACCAGCUACAGAGUGAAUUUCAACGGCUUGGCUGGUGGAGCAGAGCAUCACCGAUGCAGCCUCAUCAUUUACCUCAAGUUAAUAAUUUAUUCAAUGAUGUGAAUAUUAAAAAUAAGAACUCUGGUUUAUCUGAAAGUUUUUCCGAAUUAUUAAACGACCUAUCGAUAAAUUCAAAACCGCUAAAGAAACCCCCUGCAAGUUAUAUGUGUCACUCGUGUUUUAGGAAAGGUCAUUACAUCAGAGAUUGUCCGCAAAAAUUGUUGCAGGCUCAUCCCAAGGGAGAAGGUCGAACGCCUUACCAAGGCAAGAAACGUUGCUUCGGCGAGUACAAGUGUCCCAAGUGCAUGCGUAAGUGGAUGUCCGGAAACAGCUGGGCAAAUAUGGGCCAGGAGUGCAUGAAGUGCCGCAUCAACGUUUACCCCCACAAACAAUUAUGUUCAAGGUCGACCGCGAGACCUAUGAGUGAAGCCGGGAUUUAAUGCUCGCGAGUCUCCAAAUUCUUCAUCGAUUCGCGUGUGCUCGAUUUGAUUAUUUUCCAACAACCUACUUGUAUUAGACCUUUGGAAAAACCUGAUGGCUUGGAUGUAUCGGACCAGAGCAAAGUUCACCCUCAGAAUCUCUGUGAGAAAUG